GGCGGGGCCUACGGGAGGCAGCAGUGGGGAAUAUUGCACAAUGGGCGCAAGCCUGAUGCAGCCAUGCCGCGUGUAUGAAGAAGGCCUUCGGGUUGUAAAGUACUUUCAGCGGGGAGGAAGGGAGUAAAGUUAAUACCUUUGCUCAUUGACGUUACCCGCAGAAGAAGCACCGGCUAACUCCGUGCCAGCAGCCGCGGUAAUA
rnacentral:rRNA from 1 species